ensembl:lncRNA
CACAAAACAAAAUCACGGUCAAUCUCAAAAACGGCUCGUUUGUCGUAAUUAUGCUUAUAGAUAUAUGUUUGUCUCAUUUACAGUUAAAAAAAAAAAAAAAAACAGCCAAGGUUGCAUUUUGACAAUAGCUAUCCUUUAAGAACUGUAUAUUUUACAGUUAAGAAAUCAUUUAUCAUUAGAUCUGUUGUUGGCAGCACGUUUUGUUCAUUUCUGUGCAUUUUGCUCAAGCACUGAUCAAACUUUGUCCAUUUUUUGCUGCAGAGGGGAUCCUGUCAGUCCAAAGUGAACUCCUGAUGGACAUUGAAGUACUCCUGCAGAGCUUGUAUCUUCGACACCAUGCGCAUUAGAAACUCCACUGAGUCCUUUCCUUCACCAAGGCAGGACCCAGUGACUCAUUACUGUUGAUAGGUCAGGGGCAGUGCAGGCCCGUGGCAGGCCACCUGAGCUGCAAUGAUGUUGCCGCUGCAGCCGUGGCAGGCUGGCGGAGCUGCAGUGCCACCACCACUGGACACGUGGCAGGCCACCACAACCAUUUCGCCGCUGCUGCCUGACCCAUGGCUGCCUGCCGGUGCUGCAACGCCGCCACCCCUGGGCCUGUGGUUGGCCACCUGAACUUUCUCACUGUUGGACUUGUGUCGGGCCGCCAACAUCACCGCCUGCCGGCUUGGCCAACUGGACUGUUUCAAACCCCCGCCAGGAGCGCGGCCAGGGGACUGCGACCCGGAAGUGUUCCCGCACUGGAGGCUGCCGAACCUGCCGCUCAUUAGCCUUCCCCAGCUGCAGCUGAUAGCCUCAUGAGGAGCGUCUUAUUUAAGAAGGUGGCGGAGCUCCAGUCGACGCGGGAUUAUACUAAGUCGAACCUGAGUCAGGAACGUUGUCACAAGGGGAAUCAUGGAGUGGAAUCGGGUUUUAGGAGUUGUCACCUUUUCACUGUUAUGGACACGUGCACUGUGUGGGCUUCAUAGAGGAAUCGCCACAGGAGUCACAGUGCUGGAAUUGAAACGAACGACACGGAGAGAUGGAAGGAGAGACGUCACUAGUUCACGAGAGCUGUGUGGACACACGAGGGGAGCACUGAAGGGACUUUGCACUGUGGAUAACUGUGGAUUGGCUUCACUGUAAAUAAAGAC